rnacentral:sRNA from 1 species
GAUUUCAGCAAGCUUCACAUUUUGGGGGCAGGCAGGGGAAGAAUUCUAGAAGAGAAACAGGAUAUUCUAGUGAGACAAGCCAAUGCUGACUGUUUAAGAGAUUUAGGAUUGAAAUCUGCUUUUGAACUCGCAUUCCGGCGGUCCUCUUUGGUGUUCUCACCAAGGGCAAAAGGACUCAAAUCCUCAGCGGAGGACAGAAGGUGGCCUCUCUUCUGGCAAAACAUGCAAAUCGCCAUUGCUCGCGAGGGUGACCUCCUGACCAAGGAGCGGCUGUGCUGUGGCCUGUCCAUGUUCGAGGUCAUCCUGACCCGCAUUCGGAGCUACCUGCAGGACCCCAUCUGGCGGGGCCCACCGCCCACCAAUGGCGUCAUGCACGUCGAUGAGUGUGUGGAGUUCCACCGGCUGUGGAGCGCCAUGCAGUUCGUGUACUGCAUCCCUGUGGGAACCAACGAGUUCACAGCUGAGCAGUGUUUCGGCGAUGGCUUGAACUGGGCUGGUUGCUCCAUCAUCGUCCUGCUGGGCCAGCAGCGUCGCUUCGACCUGUUCGACUUCUGUUACCACCUGCUAAAAGUGCAGAGGCAG